rnacentral:rRNA from 1 species
UACGAACUGUGCGAACGUUAUUCGGAAUCACUGGGCUUACAGGGUGCGUAGGCGGCUAUUCAGGCCAGGUGUGAAAGCCCCCGGCUCAACCGGGGAACUGCGCUUGAAACCGAGUGGCUCGAGUCAGCUAGAGGUACACGGAACUUCCAGUGGAGCGGUGAAAUGUGUUGAUAUUGGAAGGAACACCGGAGGCGAAAGCGGUGAUGACUGGGCUGGUCUGACGCUGAG